rnacentral:rRNA from 1 species
UACGUAGGGUGCGAGCGUUAAUCGGAAUUACUGGGCGUAAAGCGUGCGCAGGCGGUUCGUUAAGUUCGUUGUGAAAGCCCCGGGCUCAACCUGGGAACUGCAAUGGAAACUGGCGGGCUUGAAUGCGGCAGAGGGGGGUGGAAUUCCGCGUGUAGCAGUGAAAUGCGUAGAGAUGCGGAGGAACACCGGUGGCGAAGGCGGGUCUCUGGGCCGAUACUGACGCUGAGGAGCGAAAGCGUGGGGAGCGAACAGG